rnacentral:rRNA from 1 species
UGGCGGCAGGCCUUACACAUGCAAGUCGAACGGUAACAGGUCUUCGGAUGCUGACGAGUGGCGAACGGGUGAGUAAUACAUCGGAACGUGCCCGAUCGUGGGGGAUAACGGAGCGAAAGCUUUGCUAAUACCGCAUACGAUCUACGGAUGAAAGCAGGGGACCGCAAGGCCUUGCGCGGACGGAGCGGCCGAUGGCAGAUUAGGUAGUUGGUGGGAUAAAAGCUUACCAAGCCGACGAUCUGUAGCUGGUCUGAGAGGACGACCAGCCACACUGGGACUGAGACACGGCCCAGACUCCUACGGGAGGCAGCAGUGGGGAAUUUUGGACAAUGGGCGAAAGCCUGAUCCAGCCAUGCCGCGUGCAGGAUGAAGGCCUUCGGGUUGUAAACUGC